AGAAUCAACGCUGGCGGCGUGCCUAACACAUGCAAGUCGAACGAGAAAGUGGAGCAAUCCAUGAGUAAAGUGGCGACCGGGUGAGUAACACGUGACUAACCUACCUUCGAGUGGGGGAUAACCUCGGGAAACCGGGGCUAAUACCGCAUAACAUCUUUGGAGUGGAAAUUCCGGAGAUCAAAGGAGCAAUUCGCUGGAAGAGGGGGUCGCGGCGGAUUAGCUAGUUGGCGGGGUAAUGGCCCACCAAGGCUUAGAUCGGUA
rnacentral:rRNA from 1 species